CUCCGGCCAAGACAUCAUCCGGCAGCCGCCCUAAGCGCCCUGCGAACACGCUAGGUUGUGACGCCGAGCCAAUGAACCAGGAGGGACUCAUCUCUGCCGAGCCAUGUAUGUACUGACGCUCAGACGGGGGUCACCAUCCCAGCGCAUGGCAGCAAGAGUGGGAGUCGCCUUCGCCUCAAAGCCGGCAGCGAACGUCUGGA